rnacentral:rRNA from 1 species
CCCCUUUNNNNNNUUUGUAAAAAUCCCUUGAGUUGAUCAUGGCUCGGACGAACGCUGGCGGCGCGCUUAACACAUGCAAGUCGAGCGAGAACCCAGGCUUCGGCCUGGGGGACAGCGGCGAACGGGUGAGUAACACGUGGGUAAUCUGCCCUCGGCACCGGGAUAGCCCGGGGAAACCCGGAUUAAUACCGGAUGGCCCAUCCGCUCCUUGGAGCGGCUGGAAAAGGUAGCUUCGGCCUCCGGCCGAGGAGGAGCCCGCGACGGAUUAGCUUGUUGGUGGGGUAACGGCUCACCAAGGCGACGAUCCGUAGCUGGUCUGAGAGGACGAUCAGCCACACUGGGACUGAGACACGGCCCAGACUCCUACGGGAGGCAGCAGUGGGGAAUCUUGCGCAAUGGGCGAAAGCCUGACGCAGCGACGCCGCGUGCGGGAAGAAGGCCUUCGGGUUGUAAACCGCUUUCAGGAGGGACGAAGCCACUCAGGUUAAUAGCCGAGAGGGUGACGGUACCUCCAGAAGAAGCCCCGGCUAACUACGUGCCAGCAGCCGCGGUAAUACGUAGGGGGCAAGCGUUGUCCGGAUUUAUUGGGCGUAAAGAGCGUGUAGGCGGCCAGGUAGGUCUGCUGUGAAAACUCGAGGCUUAACCUCGAGAUGUCGGCGGAAACCAUCUGGCUAGAGUCCGGAAGAGGAGAGCGGAAUUCCUGGUGUAGCGGUGAAAUGCGCAGAUAUCANGAAGACACCCGUGGCGAAGCGGCUCUCUGGGAGGUACUGACGCUGAACGCGAAGCGUGGGAGC